CCCUAGUAACUGCGAGUGAACAGGGAAGAGCUCAAAUUUAAAAUCUGGCAGUGUUAUGGCUGUCCGAGUUGUAAAUUAGAGAAGUGUAUUAUGGCUGAACCCUGUGCAAAAKCUUCUUGGAACAGAGCAUCAUAGAGGGUGAUAAUCCCGUCUUUGGUACAGGCUGUCAUUGGCUAUUCCAUACACUUUCAAAGAGUCGAGUUGUUUGGGAAUGCAGCUCUAAAUGGGUGGUAAAUUCCAUCUAAAGCUAAAUAUUGGCGAGAGACCGAUAGCGCACAAGUACCGUGAGGGAAAGAUGAAAAGAACUUUGAAAAGAGAGUUAAACAGUACGUGAAAUUGUUGAAGGGGAAACGCUUGAAGUCAGUCAUGUCCUUAGAUAAUCAACCCAACUUUGGUUGGGUGUACUUUCUAUUGGACAGGUCAGCAUCAGUUUUGAUCAUUGGAGAAGGGGUCUAGAAAGGUAGCAUCCUUUGGGUGUGUUAUAGUCUGGACUUAAAUACAGUGAUUGGGACUGAGGAACUCAGUGUGUAYCAGGCUUCGGCUUGGUUUGGAGGUUUUGGCCUUACAUACGCGCUUUGGAUGCUGGCAUA
rnacentral:rRNA from 1 species